UACGUAGGGUGCGAGCGUUAAUCGGAAUUACUGGGCGUAAAGCGUGCGCAGGUGGUUGUGUAAGCUUGAUGUGAAAUCCCCGGGCUUAACCUGGGAACUGCAUUGAGGACUGCACGGCUAGAGUGUGGCAGAGGGGGGUAGAAUUCCACGUGUAGCAGUGAAAUGCGUAGAGAUGUGGAGGAAUACCAAUGGCGAAGGCAGCCCCCUGGGUUAACACUGACACUCAUGCACGAAAGCGUGGGGAGCAAACAGGAUUAGAUACCCUGGUAGUCCACGCCCUAAACGAUGUCUACUAGUUGUUGGGAAGGGAGACCUUCUUAGUAACGCAGCUAACGCGUGAAGUAGACCGCCUGGGGAGUACGGUCGCAAGAUUAAAACUCAAAG
rnacentral:rRNA from 1 species